AACUUAAGCAUAUCAAUAAGCGGAGGAAAAGAAACUAACCAGGAUUCCCUUAGUAACUGCGAGUGAAGUGGGAAGAGCUCAAAUUUGUAAUCUGGCGGCCUUUGGACGUCCGAGUUGUAAUCUAAAGAAGUGCUACCUGUGCUGGACCGUGUACAAGUCUUCUGGAAUGGAGCAUCACAGAGGGUGAGAAUCCCGUCUUUGACAUGGACYGCCAGUGCUCAAUAGGUGUGCUCUCGAAGAGUCGAGUUGUUUGGGAAUGCAGCUCAAAAUGGGUGGUAAAUGCCAUCUAAAGCUAAAUAUUGGCGAGAGACCGAUAGCGAACAAGUACCGUGAGGGAAAGAUGAAAAGAACUUUGGAAAGAGAGUUAAACAGUACGUGAAAUUGCUGAAAGGGAAACGCUUGAAGUCAGUCGCGUCYGUYGGGAAUCAACCUUGCUCUUGCUGGGUGUACUUUCUGUCGGACGGGUCAGCAUCAGUUUCGGUCGCUGGACAAAGUUCUUUGGGAAUGUGGCAUCCUCGGAUGUGUUAUAGCCCUUGGGACACAUGCAGCGGUCGGGAUUGAGGAACUCAGCACGCCCGCGAGGGCUGGGGCUUUUUGCCCACAUAACUGUGCUUAGGAUGCUGGCGUAAUGGCUUUAAUCGACCCGUCUUGAAACACGGACCAAGGAGUCUAACAUGCCUGCGAGUGUUUGAGUGGAAAACUCAUGCGCGCAAUGAAAGUGAUAGUUGAGAUCCCUGUCAUGGGGAGCAUCGAUGCCCAGACCAGACCUUUUGUGACGGAUCUGCGGUAGAGCAUGCAUGUUGGGACCCGAAAGAUGGUGAACUAUGCCUGAAUAGGGUGAAGCCAGAGGAAACUCUGGUGGAGGCUCGUAGCGAUUCUGACGUGCAAAUCGAUCGUCAAAUUUGGGUAUAGGGGCGAAAGACUAAUCGAACCAUCUAGUAGCUGGUUCCUGCCGAA
rnacentral:rRNA from 1 species